rnacentral:tRNA from 1 species
GCCUGGGUGGCUCAGUCGGUUGAGCGUCCGACUUCAGCUCAGGUCAUGAUCUCACUGUUCGUGAGUUCGAGCCCCACGUUGGGCU